rnacentral:lncRNA from 1 species
UGGUUUAGGAUUUGGUUAGGAUUUGAUUUAGGAUUAGGAUUUGGUUAGGGUUUAAUUUAGGAUUAGGAUUUGAUUAGGGUUUAAUUUAGAAUUAAGAUUUGAUUAGGGUUUGAUUUGGAUUUAGGAUUUGGUUAGGAUUUGGUUAGGAUUUGAUUUAGAAUUAGGAUUUGAUUAGAAUUUGGUUAGGAUUUGAUUUAGAAUUAGGAUUUGAUUAGGAUUUGAUUUAGGAUUUAGGAUUGGAUUAGGAUUUGAUUUAGGAUUUAGGAUUGGAUUAGGAUUUGAUUUAGGAUUUAGGAUUUAUUUUAGGAUUUAAGGUUUGAUUAGAGUUUGGUCAUGAUUUGAUUUAGAAUUUAGGAUUUUAUUUGAGUUUAUUUAGGAUUUAAGAUUUAGUUAGUUUUUGGCUUAAAUUUUGAAU